GAAGCAACAUUAAGCAUGGCCAGUUGAAAAUUGAUAUGAACAAUAAAUUAUAACAAAGGAAGUGGCAAAUCAACAAGACAAAAAGUGCCAAACCAGGCUUGUCAAGAAUUCCUCAUCCUUGGGGAUGGCAAAGAGAUUUACUCUGGAAUCUUCACACUCAUGCUCCAACACUAUCCCAAAACAAAUACACACAUGUAAGUAAAACAAUUGUUUUAUCCCAAGGCUGAGCACAAAGUAUGUGAACCUCUUCCUGCCACUGGAUCCCAGAAAGCCACACAUUAUAGGCUGAACGGGAAGUAUGUGAACAUUCAAAAGAAAAAAUAAGUAUUAAUGGUAAAUCAUAAAGGAAUAUCAUGAAAUCAACUCGCUUUAAAGAACAAUUGGUACAAAUCAUUAGUAGGAGCUAUCAUUAAAAACUAUAUAUAUAUAUAUAAUCAAAUGAGAAUUCAAAGAACAAUUGGGACAAAUCAUUAGUAGAAGCCAGCAAGAAACAAAUCAAACCUCGGCAUAUACCAGAGUAACCAAGGAAAAAAAAGUGAGAAAACAGGAGGAGGAUAGAACCAGAAGGACUUGUUUGUACAUAUAGAUCACAUCUCCUCCUAGCAAAACCAAAUAGA
rnacentral:lncRNA from 1 species